AUGUGGAGAGAGACAGUGUGCGUUGUGGUUGUGUGGGUCAUACGGAGGUGGCUGAUGCAGAGAGGGUCUCUAUGUUUGCGGAGAUGUGGCUAUGACCCAACAAGGGCACCAUUGUGGUUGGUGACAGUGACCAGUUAUGCACGGUGGCUGGUCGGUGGUGACAUUAUGUAUGGCGUGGAUUCGAAUCUGUAUGUGUCGGUCUCGAGGAUGUAUGGAACUGCGAAAUAUGUAAUCACAAACCUGGCCGUGGGUUGGAAGCAACUGUUGAGGUUCUUCCCUGGCUUUUCAAAGUAA